rnacentral:rRNA from 1 species
AGAGGUCUCAAGCGUUGUUCGGAUUCAUUGGGCGUAAAGGGUGCGUAGGUGGCGUGGUAAGUCGGGUGUGAAAUUUCGGAGCUUAACUCCGAAACUGCAUUCGAUACUGCCGUGCUUGAGGACUGGAGAGGAGACUGGAAUUUACGGUGUAGCAGUGAAAUGCGUAGAGAUCGUAAGGAAGACCAGAGGCGAAGGCGGGUCUCUGGACAGUUCCUGACACUGAGGCACGAAGGCCAGGGGAGCAAACGGGAUUAGAUACCCCGGUAGUCCUGGCAGUAAACGGUGCACGUUUGGUGUGGGAGGAUUCGACCCCUUCCGCGCCGGAGCUAACGCGAUAAACGUGCCGCCUGGGGAGUACGGUCGCAAGAUUA